rnacentral:lncRNA from 1 species
CACUGUUUUUAUCUUCUAGUUAUGUUAUGUCACUUGAGUUCUCACUCGAACUUCUGACUUCUCUAUAAUUCUCAUUAGCCAGGAGAGAAACAAACAUUAAGGCAUAUACAUGUAUACAAGGUAAACAGUACUUCUGACUUCUCUAUAAUUCGUCUAGCUUGUUCACUGUAUAUUCCAUUAGAAAGAUUUAUUGCUAGUUAAAUUGUAUCGAAUAUGUUUUAUGGAGACUUCACCGAACAUGAAGAUGAUCUGUUUUGCUGCCAUGACUUUGUUCAGUUUGUUUAGUAAAACUGCUUUUAUGCUUUCUUGACUUCAAUGAUGUGGGAUCAAUUAGAUAUGUUGUAUUCUGAGUUUAUAUAUGAUCUGCCUAGGAAAACAUAUAAUGAGUUUUUAGUGUUUUGUGAAAAGCAAAGAAAAAAAAGUUUUUGCAUUUUGCAUUUUUAAAGUGAAGACACUAAUUAUGCAUGUACCAAAAAUGUUGACAAGCGGAAGUAAAAAUAUUAUAAUGAAAACUGGUCUUGAUUAACUUUGCAGAGUGGUAGUGAAGGAACAGAACAGAGCCUAGGGCUGUGUCCAGAGUUUUCCAUCUUCUGCUUGAGUACCCUUUUGAAGUUAACGAUUGAAGCAUAUAUGUUUUUGUUUUUUUAUUUAAUAUUGUGUAGCUGUGUGUAUAGGGUGUGGUUGAAAAAAUGGUGACAUGUGUGUGCAUCAUAGUAGUAGUAGUAGUAGGUGUGUAUAGAGUGAAUGUGCGUAUACGUAUACUCGCGUGUGUGUGAUGUGGGCGACUGAGCGUAGUGGCAUGGCGAACAUACAAAAAUGACUAAAGCCAAUCACACAAACCAAAUGAUAGAUAGCCAAAACACUAAAGAUUCUUAACUUGGAACCUAAUUGAUUAACCAAUCCAAGCGCCAAAACCAGACGAUCACGAAAUACACAAAAAUGACUUGACUCGUUUAAGAGCAAACUAUCGCUGAAGGAGACACACACACAAAUGAUUAAUAAAGAUCUUAUUCGCCAAAAACUAGAGGAAGCAAAAAAUGACUUACGCCCGCUCUUAAUCAAAGACUACAAAUGAUAUAGCUAGACGAAACACACAUAAUAAAAUGACUAAGAC